UACGUAGGUGUCAAGCGUUGUCCGGAAUUACUGGGCGUAAAGCGCAUGUAGGCGGAGGGGUGUGUCGAACGUGAAAGGCUGCGGCUCAACCGCAGAGCGCCGUUCGAAACUGCCUUUCUUGAGGGCCGAAGAGGAGAGUGGAAUUCCCGGUGUAGCGGUGAAAUGCGUAGAGAUCGGGAGGAACACCCAUGGCGAAGGCAGCUCGCUGGUCGGUCUCUGACGCUGAGAUGCGAAAGCGUGGGGAGCGAACGGG
rnacentral:rRNA from 1 species